rnacentral:tRNA from 1 species
GCCUGGGUAGCUCAGUUGGUUAAGCUUCUGACUUCAGCUCAGGUCAUGAUCGCGGUUCGUGGGUUGGAGCCCCGCGUCAGGCU